GACGUAGGGGGCGAGCGUUGUCCGGAUUUACUGGGCGUAAAGCGUGCGCAGGCGGCGCGUUAAGACAGGUGUGAAAGCCCCGAGCUUAACUUGGGAAUUGCGCUUGUGACUGGCGUGCUGGAGUGUGGCAGAGGGAGGUGGAAUUCCACGUGUAGCAGUGAAAUGCGUAGAGAUGUGGAGGAACACCGAUGGCGAAGGCAGCCUCCUGGGCCAGCACUGACGCUCAUGCACGAAAGCGUGGGGAGCAAACAGG
rnacentral:rRNA from 1 species